rnacentral:rRNA from 1 species
GACGAACGCUGGCGGCGUGCUUAACACAUGCAAGUCGAGCGGUAAGGCCCUUUCGGGGGUACACGAGCGGCGAACGGGUGAGUAACACGUGGGUGACCUGCCCUCAGCUCUGGGAUAAGCCUGGGAAACUGGGUCUAAUACUGGAUAUGACUCCACGGUGCAUGUCGUGGGGUGGAAAGCCUUGUGCGGCUGAGGAUGGGCCCGCGGCCUAUCAGCUUGUUGGUGGGGUGAGGGCCUACCAAGGCGACGACGGGUAGCCGGCCUGAGAGGGCGACCGGCCACACUGGGACUGAGACACGGCCCAGACUCCUACGGGAGGCAGCAGUGGGGAAUCUUGCGCAAUGGGCGAAAGCCUGACGCAGCGACGCCGCGUGAGGGAUGACGGCCU